rnacentral:rRNA from 1 species
AUUGAACGCUGGCGGCAGGCUUAACACAUGCAAGUCGGGCGAGCGGCGGACGGGUGAGUAAUGUAUGGGGAUCUGCCUGAUGGCGGGGGAUAACUACUGGAAACGGUAGCUAAUACCGCAUACCAUAGGAUGAGCCCAAGUGGGAUUAGGUAGUUGGUGGGGUAACGGCUCACCAAGCCGACGAUCUCUAGCUGGUCUGAGAGGAUGACCAGCCACACUGGGACUGAGACACGGUCCAGACUCCUACGGGAGGCAGCAGUGGGGAAGAUUGCGCAAUGGGGGCAACCCUGACGCAGCCAUGCCGCGUGAAUGAAGAAGGCCUUCGGGUUGUAAAGUUCUUUCGGUAGCGAGGCGUUACUCGCAGAAGAAGCACCGGCUAACUCCGUGCCAGCAGCCGCGGUAAUAC